UUCUUGUUGGCUCAGAUGGUAAAGAAUCUGCCUGCAAUGCAGGACACCCAGGUUCGAUCCCUAGAUUGGGAA
rnacentral:tRNA from 1 species